rnacentral:sRNA from 1 species
GGAGGCAGCUGGGCUGCAGCUCAGAAAGCAAUGCUCAUCUGCAAGUUGGGACAGCAGAGGCCCUUCAUUCCUCCCCAGGGCUCCCACACCUUGGGAGGGACCGUGAAGAGUGACUCUUGUCCAGUGGUUUUCAAACUGGGUUCCUCUAAGCCCUGGGGUAUUGUGCCCCAGGGACCCCUGAAGUUUGUUACUCCUGCUCUGAAGCUUUUCAGCAUUUCUUGAAAUAAUGAAUUCCAGUAACACUGAUAGCUCUUGGCCGGCCCACCAUGAAGCCCUUGAUCCCAGCCUGGCUGAGAGCAGAGACUGUUUCACACAUCACUAACUCUGCCCCAGCCUCUGGCUCAGAGCUAGUAGCAGGACAUGAAGGUUUACUGAACACCAAACAGAUGGUGAGUGCCCUGCUAAGAACUUCACAUACAUCUGCCCCCUCCAUCCUCCUCACUGUGAGGAAGUGUCAUCGUCCCCACCAGAAAAACAAGGACUGGGAGGUGUCCUGACUUGCCCAGGCAGAGACUGGGUCUUGUUCUGUCACCCAGGCUGGGGUGCAAUGGCGUGAUCUCAGCUCACUGCGACCUCCACCUCCUGGGCUCAAGUGAUUCUCAUGCCUCAGCCUCCCGAGUAGCUGGGGUUACAGAGGUGCACCACCACGCCUGGCUAAUUUUUGUAUUUUUCACAGAGACGGUGUUUCACCAGGUUGCCCAAGCUAGUCUCGAACUCCUGGCCUCAAGUGAUCUGCCCACCUUGGCCUCCCAAAGUGCUGGGAUUACAGGCAUGAGCCACUGCACCCAGCCUAAUUUACACACAUUUAAACACACGUGUAAAGGGAGGGGAGAGAAAGAGAGAGCACGUUGUGCAUGAAUCACUGCUACAGAGUCACACUCCAAUUCCACUUGGUGAGCACUCACCCCUUGAGGGGGAAUGUGACCUGCCAGGGUCCCCCCGCAGGUCCAAGUUCCUGCAUAUCCAGCCUCAUGAGGGAUCUCAUCAUGCUAAGUGUGAUCCUGCUGUUCAAAGGGUUUUUAUGUGGUGUGGCCCCAGAUACAUGCCAACCAUUUCACCUGUGGUGAGCGGAAGGCGCAGCUAUCUAUAACACCUGAGAAAAAAAGAACCUGCUGUAUUAGCUGUCAGCUGCUGGAGACCUUGCUUUCUGUUUCACUGGGAAACAGAAGCAAUCAGAAGGAAACUUCCUCAGACUCCACCUCUCCCUUCACUCCCGCCUGUAUCCGUGCCUGUUACCUGGACGCCUUGUGUGAACUCGAAUUCUACGCCCUCCACGGGGACACUGCCCUUCAUCCUCUCUCACCUCCUCCAGGACAACAAGACGGGAUUUCACCAUGUUAGCCAGGAUGGUCUCGAUCUCCUGACCUCGUGAUCCACCCGCCUCGACCUCCCAGAGUGCUGGGAUUACAGAAUGUUGUAGUCCUCAUCAUCAGCAGAGACUUUGUUUCAUCCUCUGCUGUAUUAUCCUGAAGAGUGCCUGGCUCAUGCUGCAGUGUUCUGAAUAGCAGUCCAGCUAUGAGGGGAGGUGCCCGUGGCAGGCCUCAGCUGACCCUGGAGAGGCCAUUAAGACCUGGCUGUCGCCUCCACAGCUGCUCGGAAGCAGAGAAGGGUGGCUUUGUAAGAAGAAGAAAAGAGAUGAUUCUCUUUCCACCAUGUGAGGACCCAGCAAGAGGGUGGCUGUCUGCAAGCCCAGGGAGAGAGCCCUCACCAGGAAUCUGCUGGCACCUUAAUCUUGGACUUCCCAGCCUCCACAACUGUGAGAAAUAAAUGUAUGUUGUUUAAGCCA